UGACAAUAAAUAACAAUACUGGGCUCAUCGAGUCUGGUAAUUGGAAUGAGUACAAUAUAAAUCCCUUAACGAGGAUCCAUUGGAGGGAAAGUCUGGUGCCAGCAGCCGUAGUAAUUCCAGCUCCAAUAGAGUAUAUUUAAGUUGUUGCAGUUAAAAAGCUCGUAGUUGGAUCUCUUACCAGGUCCAGACAUAGUAAGGAUUGACAGAUUGAGAGCUCUUUCUUGAUUCUAUGGGUGGUGGUGCAUGGACGUUCUUAGUUGGUGGAGCGAUUCGUCUGGUUAAUUCCGAUAACGAACGAGACCUCAGCCUGCUAACUAGCUACGCGGAGGUUCCCCUUCGUGGCCAGCUUCUUAGAGGGACUAUGGCUGUUUAGGCCAUGGAAGUUUGAGGCAAUAACAGGUUUGUGAUGCCCUUAGAUGUUCUGGGCCGCACGCGUGCUACACUGAUGCAGUCAACGAGUUUUUCUCCCUGGUUCGAGAGGAUCGGGAAAUCUUCUCAAAUUGCAUCGUGAUGGGGAUAGACCAUUGCAAUUAUUGGUCUUCAACGAGGAAUUCCUAGUAAGCGCGUGUCAUCAGCUCGUGUUGACUACGUCCCUGCCCUUUGUACACACCACCCGUUGCUCCUACCGAUUGAAUGAUCCAGUGAAGUGUUCGGAUCACAUCAACGAGGGUGGUUCACCACCGACGAUGUCGUGAGAAGUUCACGGAACCUUAUCAUUUAGAGGAAGGAGAAGUCGUAACAAGGUUACCGUAGGUGAACCUGCGGUAGGAUCAUUG
rnacentral:ncRNA from 1 species